CCUACGGGUGGCUGCAGUGGGGAAUAUUGCACAAUGGGCGCAAGCCUGAUGCAGCCAUGCCGCGUGUGUGAAGAAGGCCUUCGGGUUGUAAAGCACUCUCAGCGGGGAGGAAGGCGGUGAGGUUAAUAACCUCAUCGAUUGACGUUACCCGCAGAAGAAGCACCGGCUAACUCCGUGCCAGCAGCCGCGGUAAUACGGAGGGUGCAAGCGUUAAUCGGAAUUACUGGGCGUAAAGCGCACGCAGGCGGUCUGUCAAGUCGGAUGUGAAAUCCCCGGGCUCAACCUGGGAACUGCAUUCGAAACUGGCAGGCUAGAGUCUUGUAGAGGGGGGUAGAAUUCCAGGUGUAGCGGUGAAAUGCGUAGAGAUCUGGAGGAAUACCGGUGGCGAAGGCGGCCCCCUGGACAAAGACUGACGCUCAGGUGCGAAAGCGUGGGGAGCGAACAGGAUUAGAUACCCUGGUAGUC
rnacentral:rRNA from 1 species